GACGAAGGGGGCUAGCGUUGUUCGGAAUUACUGGGCGUAAAGGGCGCGUAGGCGGCUCUAUAAGUCAGGCGUGAAAGCCCUGGGCUCAACCUGGGAGUGGCGCUUGAUACUGUGGGGCUAGAGAGUGGGAGAGGUUGGUGGAAUUCCCAGUGUAGAGGUGAAAUUCGUAGAUAUUGGGAAGAACACCGGUGGCGAAGGCGACCAACUGGACCAUAUCUGACGCUGAGGCGCGAAAGCGUGGGGAGCAAACAGG
rnacentral:rRNA from 1 species